GAGCCCACCUGCCAAUGACGGAGAGGCGAGAGACAGCGAGAGCCAACGGGAGCGGAGUGAGAGGUUCUCCUACCAAUUAGGGCUAAGUGAGAGGAGAUGAGGGCCAAUGGGGACUCCGCGUCCCACCACAGGAGAGAUGGUCAAGUGUGGCAGGCGAGUUGGUCCCUGCCUGAGAGAGUGUCAGGUUGCCUAGCAACCAGAGCUAGGCUUCACCUGAAAGAUUUCUAAAAUACUGUAUUUGAUUUGAUUCAAUCUUAACGUUUUCUAGCAAAAUGUACCUGGAUUACAAGUUGGAGCAGGAUACUUCACCUAGAAUUUACCAGUAGUUCUCAACUGGGGUGUGGUGAGAUUUUGAUGCCCCUCCCCGGGGGCAUUUGGUAACAACUGGAGACAUUUUUGGACAUCAUCUAGUAGGUAGAGAGUCUCACUCUGUUGCCCAGGCUAGAGUGC